UUCCAGCCGCGGGGCCCGCCCACUGUCACGGAGUGGACUCCCGGCCAAUCAGACCCGGGUGAUGCCACGCCGGAGAUGAGAGUGGCAGGAAAUCAAGGUCAAGGCCCCGGACACAAUGGGGCCAUUGUCCAUCUCCAGUCAGUUGACUCUCAAGCAGCAGUUCCCCAUCCACCCUCGGUCCUUCUCCUCUUCCCCGCCCCUUGCCAGGAAGUCACCUAAACCCCCUGCCUCCUUUUCACAGCCGCCGCCCAAGGGAAGCCUCAACAAUCUGAAUCCUACCCUGGACGGAGGAGCUUGGCCGCCCCUGCAUGGUCACCAAGGUCUGGAAACUCAAGGGCUCUUCUCUCAGCAAAUGGCAAAAUGGCCGUGAACUGCAGCCCUUUCCUUGAUGGAGACGAAAGCUGAGGGAAACGUCUACUACGCAAAUCACAGCAGGUGCAAAUCACAGCAGGUGAAACUGACCACCGCUAUGGCCUCGAUUAAUCAAUUGGCUGAUUGAUUGAUUAUGUUACGGUAUAAAUGUUACCUCCGAAAGGCCUCCUCCCCUGUCUCAAUGAUGUCCUCCCAUAUUGUUCUGCCCCAAAACCAGCUGUAGUUUUCCUUCUUGGCCUGUAUCACAGUUUGUAAUUGGAUACGUAUUUUAUUCUUUUCCACUAGAAUAUAUGCUCGAUGAGAGCAGAGUUUGGGUCUGUUUUUGUUCACCAGUGUAUCCUUGGCACCUAGUACAGGAUCUGGCAUACAGCAGGUGUUCAAUAAAUAUGAAUGAGUGCCCUACUGAGCCCUGGGUGUGGGACAGGGCUUCACGUUCCAGUCAA